rnacentral:rRNA from 1 species
UACAGAGGUCUCAAGCGUUGUUCGGAUUCAUUGGGCGUAAAGGGUGCGUAGGCGGCGGGGUAAGUCGGGUGUGAAAUCUUGGAGCUUAACUCCGAAACUGCAUUCGAUACUGCCGUGCUUGAGGACUGGAGAGGAGACUGGAAUUUACGGUGUAGCGGUGAAAUGCGUAGAGAUCAUGAGGAAGACCAGUGGCGAAGGCGGGUCUCUGGACAGUUCCUGACACUGAGGCACGAAGGCCAGGGGAGCAAACGGG